rnacentral:lncRNA from 1 species
CGGAGCUGGAACUCAGGAUGGAACUCAGGAUGGGACUGAAACUGGAGCAGGCCCAGGUGUGCAGCGUCCCGCAGGGUCUCAGCCAGGCACAGAUUCUGCUGGAGACCUGCCCCUGGAGCCAGAGAAAUCUUGGAUAAGACACACCCAUCUCUUCUGCCUCAGGAACUGAGACUUUGAUGAGACUUUGUUUGCAUUGUAGGCACAGAUUCAGCUGGAGACUUGCCCCUGGAGCCAGAGAAAUCUUGGAUAAGACACACCCAUCUCUUCUGCCUCAGGAACUGAGACUUUGAUGAGACUUUGAUUCCAUUUGUAGGCACAGAUUCAGCUGGAGACCUGCCCCUGGAGCCAGAGAAAUCUUGGAUAAGACACACCCAUCUCUUCUGCCUCGGGAACUGAGACUUUGAUGAGACUUUGAUUCCAUUUGUAGGCACAGAUUCAGCUGGAGACCUGCCCCUGGAGCCAGAGAAAUCUUGGAUAAGACACACCCAUCUCUUCUGCCUCAGGAACUGACUGAGAUUUUGAUGAGGCUUUGAUUCCAUUCCUAGGCACACAUUCAGCUGGAGACCUGCCCCUGGAGCCAGAGCAAUUUGCUGCUGCACAUCAGGAUCUGUAUGACAAGCUGACUCAGCAAGAAACGUUCCUAGAAGUGGUUCCAAUGCAAGACUAGGACCAGAACCAGGCCCUAGCUUAGCUUUUCACCUCAAAAGUAGGUUGAAAAUGUAGACCAGGAUCUGUAUAACAAGCUGACUCAGCAAGAAACGUUCCUAGAAGUGGUUCCAAUGCUAGACAG